AGUGAACGCUGGCGGUAGGCCUAACACAUGCAAGUCGAACGGCAGCACAGUAAGAGCUUGCUCUUACGGGUGGCGAGUGGCGGACGGGUGAGGAAUACUUCGGAAUCUACUUUUUCGUGGGGGAUAACGUAGGGAAACUUACGCUAAUACCGCAUACGACCUACGGGUGAAAGCAGGGGAUCUUCGGACCUUGCGCGAUUGAAUGAGCCGAUGUCGGAUUAGCUAGUUGGCGGGGUAAAGGCCCACCAAGGCGACGAUCCGUAGCUGGUCUGAGAGGAUGAUCAGCCACACUGGAACUGAGACACGGUCCAGACUCCUACGGGAGGCAGCAGUGGGGAAUAUUGGACAAUGGGCGCAAGCCUGAUCCAGCCAUACCGCGUGGGUGAAGAAGGCCUUCGGGUUGUAAAGCCCUUUUGUUGGGAAAGAAAAGCAGCAGGUUAAUACCCCGCUGUUCGGACGGUACCCAAAGAAUAAGCACCGGCUAACUUCGU
rnacentral:rRNA from 1 species